rnacentral:tRNA from 1 species
CAAGGUUUAAAAAUAUCUUUUCAUUUUAAGCUUUGAAGGCCCAUAGUUUAAUUAACUUAAAACCUU